rnacentral:rRNA from 10 species
GUCUACAAAUAUACCAUACUGAGAGCCCUUGAUCUCCUCUUAGAAGGUAAGCAGGGUUGGUCCUGGUUAGUACUCCCUGGAAAACUAGGAACUAGAUU